rnacentral:lncRNA from 1 species
UGGUGGAGAGGUUUUGUGAGUUCUAGGCAAGUUGGAUCUUUCUCUCUCUCUUGGGAUCAGUUAUCUAUGAUGUUCUUGGAGAAUUUUAUGUUGUACAACCUUAGGGAUCAUUUGAGAGAUCAGUUUCUAGAUUGAAGUAGGGUUCUAUGAUAAUCGUUGAGUAUGAGGCUUGUUUCUAUUAGUUGGUUAGCCAUGUCACUUUUAUCUUGGAC